rnacentral:piRNA from 1 species
UGGAAUUGAAAUAGAUACCCGAACUGUAAGGU